GACUAUGGCCACACCGCCCCAAAUGUGUCUGAUCUUGUCUGAUCUCAGAAGCUAAGCAAGGUCAGGUCUGGUUAGUACUUGGAUGGGUGAGAAAUAUAUAUGUUUAUACCAUAAACA
ensembl:rRNA 5S_rRNA 5S ribosomal RNA